GCAAUAAAUAUGGAUCAAUAGAUCUCGUCGGGUACAUUUCAAGCGACACAAAGCUUACUUUUUCCUUGUACAUCUCUACCUAUAAGAGUAAGAAAUUUCCUUAAACUAGCAUACUAUCAUUUCUCCAUUGUAUCUAAUGAAAGGGAGAAGUUCCAGUGGCCAAGUUGAAUCAUCAGUAGAUAUGAUCAAAUGUGCAGGACUUACAAGAAAAAGAAAAAUCCAGUGACAUAUAGAUUCUUGUUCACCGUUUUGUGAUUAUUUGUACAACCCAUAGGGUUUUUACCACUUGAGGUCCCCUAAGAGGAUUUUAAUUCAAACUUAAAAGGAAAAGAAAAACAAUAAGUUUCACAAUUAAUAAGGAAGUAACAAAGAUUUACACAUCAAUAAAAGAAAUAGUAUAACAUAGUUUUUCAUGAAUAAAAGAAGCUUAUGAGUGAUUUUUUCCCAAUAUAUACUCAAUUCCAACUAUUAGCAAAGUCCAUAUGUUGCACAGUAUAAUGAUGCAUCAACAAUUUUUCAGCCAAAAAAAAACUAAUCUCCCAAAAAGUGAUUCACACAUAAGUUAUAUUUUUUUCUUUCCGGUUAAAACACCAAUAGAAACAUCAGAUCAUCACACAACAUAUAUGAAAUUAUUUCUCUUUGCCCUUUUAUAAAACGAAUGUACAAAGUGCUUCUCCACCUUUCCAAUUGCUUUUAGCUUCUACAUAAAUCUAUUUUUUCAUUAGUCUAAUUUGAUCAAACACAAUAAUAUUGAAAUGAUGACAUUAAUAUAAGCUGUGAAUAGUAUAGGAAGUAGCCUAAAACCAGCAAGGAUGAAUGUCCCUUUAUACUUCUAGAGACAAACAAUUCCAAGAUUACCAAGGCAAUCCAAGUUGUCUGGGGAAAUGUCCAAUAAAGUUGAGAAGACUGAUAUAGCACUCUAUAGAAACCAUAAGCGUCAAAAGAUAACCAGAGAAAGUUCCAAGUAUGUCAAUGAGUAUGAACCAAUGUAUUAAAAUUAUUGUACCUACAAAUGACCAGUUCUAAGAAGUAUGAUGCCAUGAGCCUUCCAAAUAGACACCUGACUAAAAUCAGAUUUCACAGCCUCUUAAGGUUUAGCAAAAAUAUUUUCAAGCUCUUCAGGGUCUAAUUCCUCAUCUGAACUUAAAGAAACAAAGCACUCGCUAUACGAAUGGUUGAAUCAAUAACUUAGAAGAAUACACUAACCUUAAAAUCACCAAAUUAAAGCAGAAAACCCCAAAUUUGCUCGAAAAUUGAAGUGCGAAUUGAGAGCUGAAAUUGAAGUGAUUGUCAGAGCAAUGAAGAAGCUGAUUUUUGGUCGGAGCACUGGUGGUCGGAGCACGCACUGGUGGUCGAUUGGUGGUGAUUGUGGUCAGAGUGUACUGGGGGUGUGUGGUCAGAGUGUACUGGUGGUGUGUGGUUGGAGCUACUAGUAGUGUGUGGUCGGAGUUACUGGUGGUGUGUGGUGUGUAGAUGGAGCAUACUGGUGGUGUAUGGUGAUGAAGAUCUUAAUGCAGGUGGUGGAGACCUCAUUGACAAGGGAAGAGGAGGCAGAGCAUCGUGUUAUUUUACCAGAAAAGACUGCAAAAUGCUAUGGGAAAUUUUCAACAGUAAUGGAAAAUUUUUA
rnacentral:lncRNA from 1 species